UACGGAGGAUGCGAGCGUUAUCCGGAUUUAUUGGGUUUAAAGGGUGCGUAGGCCGUCUCUUAAGUCAGCGGUGAAAGCCCGGGGCUCAACCCCGGCAAGCCGUUGAAACUGGGAGGCUGGAGAGGAAGAGAAGUAUGCGGAAUUCGCGGUGUAGCGGUGAAAUGCUUAGAUAUCGCGAAGAACUCCGAUUGCGAAGGCAGCAUACCGGCUUCUAUCUGACGCUGAGGCACGAAAGCGUGGGGAUCGAACAGG
rnacentral:rRNA from 1 species